rnacentral:rRNA from 1 species
UACGAACUGUGCAAACGUUAUUCGGAAUCACUGGGCGUAAAGGGCGCGUAGGCGGCGCGAGUAGUCAACGGUGAAAGCCCGGGGCUCAACCCCGGGUCGGCCGUCGAUACUCUCGUGCUUGAGCACUGUAGAGGCAGGUGGAAUUCCGGGUGUAGCGGUGGAAUGCGUAGAGAUCCGGAAGAACACCGGUGGCGAAGGCGGCCUGCUGGGCAGUAGCUGGACGCUG